AUUUUGUAUUAAAGGCGAGAAGAUUAGCAAUUCCCUUGACACGGAUGGAAGAGUCCAUCAGGCCAUAGAACAUGCAGGCAGUUCAGGUAUUGCCACCUACUUCAUGACAUCUCAUCGCUGUUUUAA